rnacentral:rRNA from 1 species
ACCUCGGAUCAGGUAGGGAUACCCGCUGAACUUAAGCAUAUCAAUAAGCGGAGGAAAAGAAACCAACAGGGAUUGCCUCAGUAACGGCGAGUGAAGCGGCAAGAGCUCAAAUUUGAAAGCUGGCCCCUUCGGGGUCCGCGUUGUAAUUUGCAGAGGAUGCUUCGGGUGCAGCCCCCGUCUAAGUGCCCUGGAACGGGCCGUCAUAGAGGGUGAGAAUCCCGUCUGGGACGGGGUGUCUGCGUCCGUGUGAAGCUCCUUCGACGAGUCGAGUUGUUUGGGAAUGCAGCUCUAAAUGGGUGGUAAAUUUCAUCUAAAGCUAAAUACUGGCCGGAGACCGAUAGCGCACAAGUAGAGUGAUCGAAAGAUGAAAAGCACUUUGAAAAGAGAGUUAAACAGCACGUGAAAUUGUUGAAAGGGAAGCGUUUGCGACCAGACUCGCCCGCGGGGUUCAGCCGGCAUUCGUGCCGGUGUACUUCCCCGUGGGCGGGCCAGCGUCGGUUUGGGCGGCCGGUCAAAGGCCCUCGGAAUGUAUCACCUCUCGGGGUGUCUUAUAGCCGAGGGUGCAAUGCGGCCUGCCUGGACCGAGGAACGCGCUUCGGCUCGGACGCUGGCGUAAUGGUCGUAAAUGACCCGUCUUGAAACACGGACCAAGGAGUCUAACAUCUACGCGAGUGUUCGGGUGUCAAACCCGUACGCGCAGUGAAAGCGAACGGAGGUGGGAGCCCCCUCGCGGGGCGCACCAUCGACCGAUCCUGCAUGUCUUCGGAUGGAUUUGAGUACGAGCGUAGCUGUGGGSACCCGAAAGAUGGUGAACUAUGCCUGAAUAGGGUGAAGCCAGAG